GACGAACGCUGGCGGCGUGCUUAACACAUGCAAGUCGAACGGUGAAGCGCCUUCCUUUUUGGUGGGUGGGGAUGAGUGGCGAACGGGGGAGUAACACGUGAGUAGCCUGCCCCCUUCUUCUGGAUAACCGCAUGAAAGUGUGGCUAAUACGGGAUAUUCUGGGUCUGUCGCAUGAUGGGUCUGGGAAAGAUAUUGUUUCGGUUGGGGAUGGGCUCGCGGCCUAUCAGCUUGUUGGUGGGGUGAUGGCCUACCAAGGCGGUGACGGGUAGCCGGCCUGAGAGGGUGGACGGUCCCACUGGGACUGAGCCACCGACACGCCUCCUACAGGAGGCAGCAGUGGGGAAUAUUGCACAAUGGGAGCCAUGCUGAUGCAGCGCCGCCGCGUGAGGGAUGGAGUCCUUCGGGUUGUGAACCUCUUUCGCCAGUGAAGCAGGCCUGCCUCGUUUGUGGGUGGGUUGACGGUAGCUGGAUAAGAAGCGCCGGCUAACUACGUG
rnacentral:rRNA from 1 species